GAAAUAAGUCAAUCGAGAAUAAGCUUCUAACUUAAUUCUUAAGCAGUGAAAAUCUGUUUUUAUUUCU
rnacentral:tRNA from 1 species